GGAGAGAUGGCUGAGUGGUCGAUAGCGGCGGUCUUGAAAACCGUUGAGUCCUUGCGGACUCCGGGGGUUCGAAUCCCUCUCUCUCCG
rnacentral:tRNA from 1 species